rnacentral:tRNA from 1 species
GGGCCUGUAGCUCAGUUGGACAAGAGCGUUCGCCUUCUAAGCGAAAGGGCGCAGGUUCAAGCCCUGCCAGGCUCA